rnacentral:rRNA from 1 species
UCGGUAAAACUCGUGCCAGCCACCGCGGUUAUACGAAAGACCCUAGUUGAUGGCCACGGCGUAAAGGGUGGUUAAGGUACCUAACAAAUAAAGCUAAAUAGCCUCUAAGCCGUCGAACGCGCCCUGAGAACUAGAAACUCAAAAACGAAAGUAGCUUUAAAACAACCCCACCUGACCCCACGAAAGCUAAGAAACAAACUGGGAUUAGAUACCCCACUAUG